rnacentral:rRNA from 1 species
AGCGAACGCUGGCGGCGUACUUAACACAUGCAAGUCGAACGGGGAUCGUCGGGUUAGCAAUAAUUCGGCGGUCCUAGUGGCGUACGGGUGAGUAACACGUGGGCAACUUGCCCUUGAGACCGGGAUACCCUCUCGAAAGGGAGGCUAAUACUGGAUACGUUCUUCGGAUCGCAAGAUCUGGAGAGGAAAGGUGGCGCAAGCUACCGCUCUUGGAGAGGCUCGCGGCCUAUCAGCUAGNGGUGAGGUAAUGGCUCACCAAGGCUAUGACGGGUAGCUGGUCUGAGAGGACGACCAGCCACACGGGAACUGAGACACGGUCCCGACUCCUACGGGAGGCAGCAGUGGGGAAUUUUCCGCAAUGGGCGAAAGCCUGACGGAGUGACGCCGCGUGGGGACGAAGGCCUCGG